GAUGCUUUGACUAGAGUGACUAGUGAGAGUGAGCUGGAAGAAGGGGCAUGACAGAAGAGACUGAACACUAAAUGACAAGACAGGAGCAACUAAGUAGUAGCAAAGAAUGAGCUGUAAUGCCCUGCAGCUCGGACCUUUAUUUUUUACCUUUUCACUAUCAAUUUUUAAUCA
rnacentral:miRNA from 14 species